rnacentral:lncRNA from 1 species
AGACUUCCUCCUAUCACGAUCGACUUUACUCUGAGCUUCUUUCGGACUUCAUCCAUGUCUGGGCUUCUCCAGCAGCAGGACUUCUAUAGUAACCAAACUCCAUCCAAGUUUCUACAGUGGUCGACCACCUUUCGAAUUUCAUCCGAGCUUCUACAGUAAGUGAAUUCCGUCCGAACUUCUAUUGCAAGCAGACUUCAACCGAGCUUCUAGAAUAAGCGGUCUCCAUUCGGGCUUCCAUGGCAACCGGUCUCCAUCCGAGCUUCUAAAGUAAGUGAAUUUCGUCUGAACUUCUAUUGCAAGUGG